AAGGCGAUGAUGCAUAGCCGAGUUGAGAGACUGAUCGGCCACAUUGGGACUGAGACACGGCCCAAACUCCUACGGAGGGCAGCAGUAGGGAAUCUUCCACAAUGGACGCAAGUCUGAUGGAGCAACGCCGCGUGAGUGAAGAAGGGUUUCGGCUCGUAAAGCUCUGUUGUUGGUGAAGAAGGACAGGGGUAGUAACUGAAACCUUUGUUUGACGGUAAUCAAUUAGAAAGUCACGGCUAACUACGUGCCAGCAGCCGCGGUAAAU
rnacentral:rRNA from 1 species